rnacentral:rRNA from 1 species
AGGGUGUAAACGUUGCGGGCUUGGUGUUGGGGUCCUUAGUGGGCGCCCAGUGCCGGAGAGAAGUUGUUAAGCCUGCUGCUUGGGGAGUAUGUCCGCAAGGAUGAAACUUAAAGGAAUUGGCGGGGGAGGCACCGCAACGGGAGGAGCGUGCGGUUCAAUUGGAUUCAACGCCGAAAAACUACACCAGGAGCGACGGAUAUAUGAAGGCCAGGCUGAUGACCUUGCCUGAUUUUCCGAGAGGAGGUGCAUGGCGUAGACGUCU